GGAAUUUUCCGCAAUGGGCGAAAGCCUGACGGAGCAACGCCGCGUGAGGGAUGAAGGCCUCUGGGCUGUAAACCUCUUUUAUCAAGGAAGAAGAUCUGACGGUACUUGAUGAAUAAGCCACGGCUAAUUCCGUGCCAGCAGCCGCGGUAAUACGGGAGUGGCAAGCGUUAUCCGGAAUUAUUGGGCGUAAAGCGUCCGCAGGCGGUCUGUCAAGUCUGCUGUUAAAGCGUGGAGCUUAACUCCAUUUCGGCAGUGGAAACUGACAGACUAGAGCGUGGUAGGGGCAGAGGGAAUUCCCGGUGUAGCGGUGAAAUGCGUAGAUAUCGGGAAGAACACCAGUGGCGAAGGCGCUCUGCUGGGCCAUAACUGACGCUCAUGGACGAAAGCCAGGGGAGCGAAAGGGAUUAGAUACCCCAGUAGUC
rnacentral:rRNA from 1 species